CCUUCUAGGACUGUCGGGGUGACUAUAGCUUCUAUAGCCCCUGUCUGCAUCCGUGUCUUUUGCGUACUACAUGUUUCCUCGGCGGGCUUGCCCGCCGGUUGGACCCUUUAACACUCUUUGCAAUUGCAAUCAGCGUCUGAACAAUAUAAUAGUUA
rnacentral:misc_RNA from 1 species